CCAAACCUGCCGAGGUCUAGGCUACCCGUAGCAUCUGUAUGUCUCAAUUUGAAGAUAUGCAUUUGCUGUGGGUGACCAAAGCCCGGUUUAUUGGACCG
rnacentral:pre_miRNA from 1 species